rnacentral:lncRNA from 1 species
CCAUUGAUCCUGACGGUGAAUAACCCGGUGCAUACGACGGAGGAGCUGGCGGAGAAGUCACCGGAGAAGUUGCCGGAGAAACAGGGGAAGAUGAUUUAGGUGACAUUGAUCCCGGCGGUGAAGAACCCGGUGCAUACGACGGAGGAGCUGGCGGAGAAGUUGCCGGAGAACCAGCGGAGGAAGAUUUAGGUGGCAUUGAACCCGGCGGAGAAGUCACCGGAGAAGACGACGGAGAACCAGGGGAAGAUGAUUUAGGUGACAUUGAUCCCGGCGGAGAAGAUGACGGAGAACCAGGGAAUGAGGAUUUAGGUGGCAUUGAUCCCGGCGGAGAAGUCAUCGGAGCAGAGGACGGAGAACCAGGGGAAGAGGAUUUAGGUGGCAUAGGUGCGGGUGGAGAAGUCGACGGAGACAUAUGAGAGGAAGAUUUAGGUGCCAUUGAACCUGGUGGAGAAGUUGCCGGAGACUUAGCGGAGGAUGAUUUAGGUGGCAUUGAUCCCGGCGGAGAAGUCACUGGAGAAGAAGACGGAGAAACAGGGGAAGAUGAUUUAGGUGGUGUAUGUGCCGGUGGAGACGUCGCCGGAGAAACAGGGGAUGAAGAUGAUUUAGGUGGCAUUGUUCCCGGUGGAGAAGUCACCGGAGAAACAGGGGAAGUAGAUUUAGGUGGCAUAGGUGCCGGUGGAGAAGUCGCCGGAGAAACAUGGGAAGAAGACUUAGGUGGCAUUGAUCCCGGCGGAGAAGUCACCGGAGCAGAAGACGGAGAAACAGGGGAAGAAGAUUUAGGUGGCGUAGGUGCGGGUGGAGAAGUCGCCGGAGAAACAGGGGAAGAGGAUUUAG